rnacentral:rRNA from 1 species
CCUACGGGAGGCAGCAGUGGGGAAUAUUGGACAAUGGGCGAAAGCCUGAUCCAGCCAUGCCGCGUGUGUGAAGAAGGCCUUCGGGUUGUAAAGCACUUUCAGUGGGGAAGAAAGCCUUGGGGCUAAUACCCUCGAGGAAGGACAUCACCCACAGAAGAAGCACCGGCUAACUCCGUGCCAGCAGCCGCGGUAAUACGGAGGGUGCGAGCGUUAAUCGGAAUUACUGGGCGGAAAGCGCGCGUAGGCGGUCUGAUAAGCCGGUUGUGAAAGCCCCGGGCUCAACCUGGGAACGGCAUCCGGAACUGUCAGGCUAGAGUGCAGGAGAGGAAGGUAGAAUUCCCGGUGUAGCGGUGAAAUGCGUAGAGAUCGGGAGGAAUACCAGUGGCGAAGGCGGCCUUCUGGACUGACACUGACGCUGAGGUGCGAAAGCGUGGGUAGCAAACAGGAUUAGAUACCCCGGUAGUC